rnacentral:misc_RNA from 1 species
AAAAAAAAAAUAUUGUGCUUUGAUAUGGAAUUUCUGGUGCCGUCUGCUUUUGAUUUUGAACAGCUUUAUUAGCUUUCUUUUGAGUUGGAAUUCGUUUUGUAGUGUUCUUAAACACUGGUUUGUUGCUACACAGUUGAAAUUGAAGGGGUUUUAGUCUGCCUCUGAUGAUCUUUGUCGAGUUUCUUUUAUCUCUCUUCUUCUUUUAUAUGUAAUUUUGUACACUUUUUGUCCUACUUCCCCCCCAC